CGGACGUGGAUAACCUGCCUCACACAGGGGGAUAACAGUUAGAAAUGACUGCUAAUACCGCAUAAGCGCACGGCAUCGCAUGAUGCAGUGUGAAAAACUCCGGUGGUGUGAGAUGGAUCCGCGUCUGAUUAGGUAGUUGGUGGGGUAACGGCCCACCAAGCCGACGAUCAGUAGCCGGCCUGAGAGGGUGACCGGCCACAUUGGGACUGAGACACGGCCCAA
rnacentral:rRNA from 1 species